rnacentral:lncRNA from 1 species
GUUCUGUCGCCCAGGCUGGAGUGCAGUGGCGCGAUCUCAGCUCACUGCAAUCUCCGCCUCUCAGGUUCAUGCCAUUCUCCUGCCUCAGCCUCCCAAUGUAUCUGAGACUACAGGUGCCCGCGACCAUGCCUGGCUAAAUUUUUGUAUUUUUUUUUUCAGUAGAGACGGGGUUUCACUGUGUUAGCCAAGAUGGUCUUGAUCUCUUGACCUCGUAAUCUGCCUGCCUUGGCCUCCCAAAGUGCUGGGAUUACAGACGUGAGCCACCAUGCCCGGCCCUAAUAGUGAUUUUCUAUUUCUCUCUUUCCUUUUUAACUUUUUAUUUGAACUAACUUCAGACUUGUACGUGAGUUGCAGAAAUAGUCCUAGAAGGGGUCUGGACAGGCAAAAUGGGGGCCUGAAGGGGGCAGAGAGAUUUCUGGCCAAGGAAGUUAUGGUUACCAGGCAUAGCAGUAUAUGGGGCAGAGGCUGCAGCAGGAGCCGGGCGUGGCAGUAGAUGGGGCAGAGGCUGCAGCAGAACUGUGCAGGAGGGAAGUCACUCACUCUUCACUCUCACGGGCUUCCCCUGGCUGCUCAGUAGGGUCCUUUGGAAGCUGCUGAAAACUGCAAAUGCUUAGCCCACCCAGGCUCCGUGUGACACAGCCAGGAGUGAGCUCCACAGCUCUGUGUGGUGGACAUCCAGCCUCCCUACCCUGGGAAAGCUGAAAUGCAAAGAAACACGUGUUUUAGUAGCUAAUUAUUGGCCUUUGAGCUUCCAAAACCCCACAUUCCGGCAAUCUGUAGAGCUCUUCAGGCCAGGCGCAUUGGCUCAUGCCUGUAAUCCCAGCACUUUG